ensembl:lincRNA
UUGUUUUUUGAAGGAAUAACAACAUAAUCUUAGUUUUUCAAUGUAUUUAUAGGAAGAUUUGGUAGAUAUUGUUGAUACUCGAAUUCAUCAGUUAGAAGAUUUAGAAGCAACUUUUGCUGAUUUGUGUGAUGGUGAUGAUGAAGAAACUGUACAGAAAUGGGCUUCAAACCCUGGAAUGGAAUCACUAGUUCCACUUGUACAGAGUUUGAAAAAACGGAUGGAAGUGCCAGAUUAUGAAAUGGUUCACCAAGCUGGUCUAACCUGUGAUUAUUCAGAACUUCCUCACCAUAUCAGCACAGAGCAAGAAAUUGAGUACCUUAUUCAGUCUGUAUAUUGCUUACUGAAAAGUUUACCAAAACCUACUCUUGUGACAAUUGCAAGGUCAAGUCUGGAUGAUUACUGUCCUUCUGAACAAGUUGACACCAUUCAAGAAAAGAUCCUCAGUUUGCUGCAUUCCCUUUAUGGGACUCUAGACACUCACCUGGUAUAUUCAACAGAAUAUUCUACAUCCUGAAACAUACAAAACACUAGGUUCCUGUUACAUCCUAUUAUAAUAGAGUUUUCAUUAACUUAUUUGUAAAUGAGUCUUCCAGAGAACACUUUUUAUGUUACUAUCACUUGAAAUCUUUCAGAUAUUUUAAAUCUUCAAAUAUCAAUUGAACAAAGGCAGGGUUUUUUUUUGGGGGGGGGGUAUUUUGUUACAUCAAAUCCCAACUGUUGCUUAUCUUUCUUUUCUUUAUUGUCUUUAUUUAUGAGGAUUUUUUUUUCAUCUCCUUCUUCCCAGGUCAAUUGAUCUGUAUGAGAAUCAUUCUUACAUUUAUUUAUCCAUUCAACCAGCUGACAUUUAUUAAGCAUUUAUGUGUGCCAGACAUUAUCAAGUGCAGGUGUGUGGUAAUGAACAGAAUAGACAGGGCCCUGCCCUUUUGGAAGAGGUAAAUGAGAAGCAAAUUAUGGAUCAUGAACAAUGUUAUGAGAGAAAGAACAACCACAAACAUAUCUUAGUCAUGCUCUUAGUACUCAGAAUAUUCUGGACAUUAUAGAAAGUAACAUUCACAAAAGCUACUACCAAAAAAAAAAAAAAACCUUUACCAGUCCAUAACUUACAGGAAGUUAGCCUUUCCAAGACUCUUGGGAUUGUGGCCAGACAGAAAUGCUCUCAACAUUGAUUUUUUUUUUUCAAUAAUAGCUUUGUUGAGAUAUAAUUCACAUAUCAUACAAUUCACAUUUAAACUGUGCAAUUCAAUGGUUUUUAAUAUACUUUUGAAUAUAUGCAAAACCAAUAUCACAGUCAAUUUUAGAACAUUUUCAUUGCCUCAAAAAGAAACUCUGAAUUAGAUACCAUCACUCGAUCUACCCAUUUUAUUCACUCCCUGCCCCCCACCCACCCCAAACAACCACUUUCUACUUGUUCUUUUGUGACCAGCUUCUUUUAUUUGGCAUGUUUUCAAGGAUCAUCCAUUGUGCACCACACAUCACAACUUCAUUUCUCUUUAUAAGUGAAUAGUAGCAGUGUGAUUUUGAUUUUUGGUUUGGGGUUUUUUGCAGGACCAGAGAUUGAACUCAGGGGCACUCACUCUACCACAAAGCUAUAUUCCCAGUCCUUGUUAUUUUUUUAUCUUAAGACAAGGUCUCACUAAGUUGCUGAGGCUGGCCUGGAACUUGCAGUCCUUUUGCCUCAGCCUCACAGGUUGCUAGGAUUACAGACAUGUUUCUCCUAGCCCAGCUUCCAUCACUGUUUUAUUAAAGAGGUCUGAAGCUGGGGGUGGUAGUACACACCUAUAAUCCUAGCAACUUGACAGGCUGAGGCACAAGGAUCACAAGCUCUAAGCCAGCUUUGGCAAUUUAGCAAGACCCUAUCAAAAUUCAAAAAAAAAAAAGAAAAAGGGCUGAAGAUGUAGCUCAGUUUUAGAGCGCUCCUGGAUUCAGUCUGCAGUGUUGGGGGUGAUAGGGGCAGGGCCUUGUUGAAUGAACUUUAUUUACCAAACAAAUUCACUUUUGGGAACUGGAGCUGUAUAGCUCAGUGGCAGAGUGCUUGCCUAGCUUGUGUGAGGCACUGGGUUCAAUCUUUAGCACCACAUUAAACAAAAUAAAGGUUUGAUGUCCAUCUACAACUACAAAAAAAAAAAACUUUUGAUUUUGGUUUUGUUAACUAGAAAAGCACUUCAGGGAUUUUUGCCCAUCUUAAUAGUCAUUGUGGGUAUCAGUUAUCAUUGUUCCAUUUUAUUUAAAUGCCAUUUUAUUGACAGUCUGAGUUGAUAAAUUUUUAAAUAACCCAGCUUGUUAUGAAAAAGUAGAGAAAAUUAAAUCUUUAAUUUUGACCUGCCAUAAAUACCCAAGGACACAACUGUCUCCUCACCAGCCUCCUCAUAAUACAACCAAACAAAAUGAGUUCACCCCUUGAUGAGCACAAAGCCAAUACGCACAACCAGGAGAUGAAAGAAUCAAGAAAGGCUUGCUACUUGCAACAGCUAAGGAGAACACUAGAGAUCUUAUCUCAAAGUUGUGCCUCUUAUGGAAUGAAGGGGUGUUACUGGAGAGAGGCUUGUGUGCACCUUCUAGAGGGGAUUGUUAUCACAGGUGGUAAGCACAUUCCUGCACAUGCAGUUAGAGGUCAGCCUCUUCACAGGGUCCAUGUUUGAAAUGGUGGAUGAGAGUGCCUCUGUGGUGGAGAAUUUAACAUUAUGGUAUUAUAAUGAGCAAGUUUCACUCUAAGUCACCCUGAAUAAUAACUUGGUGAUUUUGAGCUAGUUUAAAGUGGUUUCAUGCGUUUUUUUCCCUCUGGAAAGCUUUAUCUGAAACAGCAACAAACAAAAACAGCUUGAAGGGAUGUGUCUUCACCCCCCUCCCACAACAAACAGGUGUUUACCCCUAUGAGUUCCUGCCUAAAAUAAAAAUAAGAUAACCCUUCUUGAGACACUCUUAAUCAUGGAAAUUCUUAUUUUCCCAAUUUGCCAAAUCAUCCUGCUCUUCAGUAUGCCCUUUGUUAAGUAACCAUUUUAACUACCAUUUAAUUUCACUUCUUUUAAAGGAUAAAAUGGGAUGUAAAGACAAAAGAAAAUAGCACUCAUCCACAACUGUAAGUUGUAUGUAGCUAAAAAUCAUAGGGUUACCUAAUUUUAUGAAUAUUCAAGGACAUAUUACUAUUGUCAUUCAGUAGAUGGCACCAGACCCCAUUUUUCCACUGAUUAUGUUUUCCAAUGAAUUUUUCUUAUCACCAAGUUGAUUUCCAAAGUCUGAUGGUUUUGAAUGCUUGUGUUGAAUUUACUUAGCUUUCCAAUUUGAUAAAACAUUAUAUUCCAGAAAGGUUUAUGUUCUUGUAAAAAUCAGAAUUGCAAAAUUGUGCUAUUUAUUUAUUUUAAAUUAUAGGCAUAACUUUCAUGAAUAAAUUAUUUUGUGUGCUAAAAGAAAUUAAAAGAUGUGUUUUGAAAUUUUAAAGAUUUGGGGGUUGUUGUUUUCUUAUUUUCAAUGCUAGUGACUGAACCCAGGGCCUCCCACAUUGAAGACAAAUACUCUCCCACUCAGCUACAUCCCCAGUCCUAAAGUUUAAAAGAUUUUAAAUCAAACUAUAGCACUAAUUAAUUGUUUCUGAUCACAGUAUGUUGAUAUCAUUGAUCUUAUAAGUCUGAAACUCAAGUGUGAUUCAUCAUUGCUUUAAUUCAGGCUGAAUAAAAGAACAUCAAAUUCUGUUACAGGAACACUCAGAUUGUUUAAUUCUCUUGUUCUGUGAUUGUGUCUUUGAAGAAAAAAAAUUUAGUCCCUGCUUGUUGAAUAAAACCAGAUUAGUAGAUUAUGUUUCUGCACAUUCCAAAUAGGAAGAUAUUUACUCAAGACAUUCUUUAUUUGAGUUCUAAGUACAUAUGAGGAAAACAUGUAUAAAUAUAAUAAUGUACAUUCCAAAUAGGAAGAUAUUU